rnacentral:rRNA from 1 species
AGAGUUUGAUCCUGGCUCAGGAUGAACGCUAAGGCCUAACAUGCAAGUCGAGGGGUAGAACACUUCGGUGUUUGAGACCGGCGCACGGGUGCGUAACGCGUAUGCAAUCUACCUUGUACAGGGGAAUAGCCCAGAGAAAUUUGGAUUAAUGCCCCAUAGUAUAUAACCUUCGCAUGUUGGUUAUAAAGUUCCAACGGUACAAGAUGAGCAUGCGUCCCAUUAGUUAGUUGGUAAGGUAACGGCUUACCAAGACGAUGAUGGGUAGGGGUCCUGAGAGGGAGAUCCCCCACACUGGUACUGCUUACCAAGACGAUGAUGGGUAGGGGUCCUGAGAGGGAGAUCCCCCACACUGGUACUGCUUACCAAGACGAUGAUGGGUAGGGGUCCUGAGAGGGAGAUCCCCCACACUGGUACUGAACACGGACCAGACUCCUACGGGAGGCAGCAGUGAGGAAUAUUGGUCAAUGGUCGCAAGACUGAACCAGCCAUGCCGCGUGCAGGAAGACGGUCCUAUGGAUUGUAAACUGCUUUUAUACAGGAAGAAACCCUCUCACGUGUGGGAGCUUGACGGUACUGUAGGAAUAAGGAUCGGCUAACUCCGUGCCAGCAGCCGCGGUAAUACGGAGGAUCCAAGCGUUAUCCGGAAUCAUUGGGUUUAAAGGGUCCGUAGGCGGUCUUAUAAGUCAGUGGUGAAAGCCCAUCGCUCAACGAUGGAACUGCCAUUGAUACUGUAGGACUUGAAUGCUUAGGAAGUAACUAGAAUAUGUAGUGUAGCGGUGAAAUGCUUAGAUAUUACAUGGAAUACCAAUUGCGAAGGCAGGUUACUACUAAGUGAUUGACGCUGAUGGACGAAAGCGUGGGGAGCGAACAGGAUUAGAUACCCUGCAGUCCACGCCGUAAACGAUGGAUACUAGCUGUUCGGAGCAAUCUGAGUGGCUAAGCGAAAGUGAUAAGUAUCCCACCUGGGGAGUACGCACGCAAGUGUGAAACUCAAAGGAAUUGACGGGGGCCCGCACAGCGGUGAGCAUGUGGAUUAAUUCGAUGAUACGCGAGGA